rnacentral:rRNA from 1 species
GACGAACGCUGGCGGCGCGCUUAACACAUGCGAGUCGAACGAUGAAGCCGGAGCUUGCUCUGGUGGAUUAGUGGCGAACGGGUGAGUAACACGUGAGUAACCUGCCCUUGACUCCGGGAUAAGCGUUGGAAACGACGUCUAAUACCGGAUACGAGCUAGGACCGCAUGGUCACUAGCUGGAAAGAAUUUCGGUCAAGGAUGGACUCGCGGCCUAUCAGCUAGGUGGUGAGGUAACGGCUCACCAAGGCGACGACGGGUAGCCGGCCUGAGAGGGUGACCGGCCACACUGGGACUGAGACACGGCCCAGACUCCUACGGGAGGCAGCAGUGGGGAAUAUUGCACAAUGGGCGCAAGCCUGAUGCAGCAACGCCGCGUGAGGGACGACGGCCUUCGGGUUGUAAACCUCUUUUAGCAGGGAAGGAGCGCAAGUGACGGUACCUGCAGAAAAAGCACCGGCUAACUACGUGCCAGCCGCCGCCGUAAAAC